rnacentral:rRNA from 1 species
UCGGACCUACGGGGCGCAGCAGUGGGGAAUAUUGCGCAAUGGGCGAAAGCCUGACGCAGCGACGCCGCGUGAGGGAUGAAGGUCUUCGGAUCGUAAACCUCUGUCAGCAGGGAAGAACGGUCACUGUGCUAAUCAGCAGUGAAUUGACGGUACCUGCAAAGGAAGCACCGGCUAACUCCGUGCCAGCAGCCGCGGUAAUACGGAGGGUGCGAGCGUUAUCCGGAUUUAUUGGGUUUAAAGGGUGCGCAGGCGGCGUGUCAAGUCAGCGGUAAAAUGUCGGGGCUCAACCCCGGCCGGCCGUCGGA